rnacentral:lncRNA from 1 species
UGUGAUUUAACUGUCAAAGCCGGAAUGUUUAAAGCAUACAUCCCGCCCAAGGCAUGCUGGGAUGAUCUCCUAUCAGGCAGCUUGGAAACUUCCAGACGCCGAUGUGCCUUAUGUUCGGUGCAGCCCAGGUUAUGAACUGUCAAGUGGAAUAUGCCCCUUGAGGAAAACGAGUAUAUUCAAGCUCCACGUGAAAUGCCAAGUAUGGUCACUGGAAAAUGAUCGACUGUCCAGCG